CAGUCGCCACGGGAAUACGUAGGUGGCAAGCGAUGUCUGGAAUUAUUGGGCGUAAAGGGCUCGCAGGCGGUUUCUUAAGUCUGAUGUGAAAGCCCCCGGCUCAACCGGGGAGGGUCAUUGGAAACUGGGAAACUUGAGUGCAGAAGAGGAGAGUGGAAUUCCACGUGUAGCGGUGAAAUGCGUAGAGAUGUGGAGGAACACCAGUGGCGAAGGCGACUCUCUGGUCUGUAACUGACGCUGAGGAGCGAAAGCGUGGGGAGCGAACAGGAUUAGAUACCCCAGUAGUCCCUGUCUCUUAUAC
rnacentral:rRNA from 1 species